rnacentral:rRNA from 1 species
UACGUAGGGUGCGAGCGUUAAUCGGAAUUACUGGGCGUAAAGCGUGCGCAGGCGGUUUUGUAAGCCAGAUGUGAAAUCCCCGGGCUUAACCUGGAAAUGGCAUUUGGGACUGCAAGGCUUGAGUGCGGCAGAGGAGACUGGAAUUCCUGGUGUAGCAGUGAAAUGCGUAGAUAUCAGGGGGAUACCGAUGGCGAAGGCAGGUCUCUGGGCUGACACUGACGCUCAUGCACGAAAGCGUGGGGAGCAAACAGG